rnacentral:misc_RNA from 1 species
GAUGAAGAACGUAGUGAAAUGCGAUACGUAAUGUGAAUUGCAGAAUUCAGUGAAUCAUCGAAUCUUUGAACGCAUAUUGCGCUCUCUGGUAUUCCGGAGAGCAUGCUUGUUUGAGUAUCAGUAAACACCUCAACUCCCUUUUCUUUUUUGAAAUUGGAGCUGGACUUGAGUGAUCCCAACGCUUUCUUCCAAGAAAGUGGCGGGUUGCUUGAAAUGCAGGUGCAGCUGAACUUUUCUCUGAGCUAUAAGCACAUCUAUUUAGUCUGCCUAAAAAACAGAUUAUUACCUUUGCUGCAGCUAACAUAAAGGAGACUAGUUCUUGUGCUGACUGAUGCAGGAUUCACAGAGACAGCUUCGGCUGACUUUGUAAACUCGAUCUCAAAUCAAGUAAGACUACCCGCUGAACUUAAGCAUAUCAAUAAGCGGAGGA